rnacentral:rRNA from 1 species
AGCAGCCGCGGUAAUUCCAGCUCCAAUAGCGUAUAUUAAAGUUGUUGCAGUUAAAAAGCUCGUAGUUGAACUUCGGGGUUUACUCAUUGGUCAGGCUUAAUUGUCUGUACUGGUGAGAUGAAUCUCUACCUUCUGAGGAACUUUCAUGCCAUUUAUUUGGUGUGAUGGGAAAUCAGGACUGUUACUUUGAAAAAAUUAGAGUGUUUAAAGCAGGCUAACGUCUGAAUACAUUAGCAUGGAAUAAUGAAAUAGGACGGACUGAUUCUAUUUCGUUGGUUUCUAGGAUCACCGUAAUGAUUAAUAGGGAUAGUUGGGGGCAUUAGUAUUCAAUUGUCAGAGGUGAAAUUCUUGGAUUUAUUGAAGACUAACUACUGCGAAAGCAUUUGCCAAGGAUGUUUUCAUUAAUCAAGAACGAAAGUUAGGGGAUCGAAGACGAUCAGAUACCGUCGU